rnacentral:rRNA from 1 species
UACAGAGGUCUCAAGCGUUGUUCGGAAUUACUGGGCGUAAAGGGCUCGUAGGUGGCCAACUAAGUCAGACGUGAAAUCCCCAGGCUUAACCUGGGAACUGCGUCUUAUACUGGAUGGCUUGAAUUCGGGAGAGGGAUGCAGAAUUCCAGGUGUAGCGGUGAAAUGCGUAGAUAUCUGGAGGAAUACCGGUGGCGAAGGCGGCAUCCUGGACCGAGAUUGACACUGAUGAGCGAAAGCUAGGGGAGCAAACGGG